rnacentral:rRNA from 1 species
CCUACGGGUGACAGCAGUGAGGAAUAUUGGUCAAUGGACGAGAGUCUGAACCAGCCAAGUAGCGUGAAGGAUGACUGCCCUAUGGGUUGUAAACUUCUUUUAUAAAGGAAUAAAACGAGGCACGUGUGCCUUUUUGCAUGUACUUUAUGAAUAAGGAUCGGCUAACUCCGUGCCAGCAGCCGCGGUAAUACGGAGGAUCCGAGCGUUAUCCGGAUUUAUUGGGUUUAAAGGGAGCGUAGAUGGGUUGUUAAGUCAGUUGCGAAAGUUUGCGGCUCAACCGUAAAAUUGCAAUUGAUACUGGCAGUCUUGAGUACAGUUGAGGUAGGCGGAAUUCGUGGUGAAGCGGUGAAAUGCUUAGAUAUCACGAAGAACCCCGAUUGCGAAGGCAGCUUACUAAACUGUGACUGACAUUGAUGCUCGAAAGUGUGGGUAUCAAACAGGAUUAGAUACCCCAGUAGUC